GAAUGACAAAGGCAAACUUGCUGAAAGGCAGGGACGCAAAGCCACGGGUCUAAGGACGAAGGUCAAAUGACUUUCGCAGCUAGGACAGCCGGGUUGCCAUA
rnacentral:ncRNA from 1 species